CUAGCGACUUCAGAGUUUGAUCCUGGCUCAGGAUGAACGCUAGCUACAGGCUUAACACAUGCAAGUCGAGGGGCAGCAGGAACUUAGCUUGCUAAGUUUGCUGGCGACCGGCGCACGGGUGAGUAACGCGUAUCCAACCUGCCCAUUACUCAGGGAUAGCCUUGCGAAAGUAAGAUUAAUACCUGAUGUUGUUAUAGACCCGCAUGAGUUUUUAACUAAAGAUUUAUUGGUAAUGGAUGGGGAUGCGUAACAUUAGGUAGGUGGUGAGGUAACGGCUCACCAAGCCUACGAUGUUUAGGGGUUCUGAGAGGAAGGUCCCCCACACUGGAACUGAGACACGGUCCAG
rnacentral:rRNA from 1 species